ACCUGCAGAGAGGAAGACGAUGACAACAGAGGAGAACCUGAGGGGAGAUGAAGGACGGAUGUGAUGGAGAACUGUGAGAACAAAGGAGGAGAAGAAAGGAUGAAGAAUAAAAGGGAAUGAAGAGGAGAGAGACGACAGGAGACAGGCUGGAGGAGGAGAGGAGGGCACGGCGGCUUUGUGUUUAUGCAGAUGAUACCUGACUUUUCAUCAAACACACACACACACACUGUUAAGCACACAAUGGCUCUUUCUGUGAGCUGAUUGGCAGGCGGAGGGUCAGCGCAGGUUGACCUGCGGGGCCUCAGAUCAACCAAUCAGAGAGCGGCGUGUCAUCAGCCCAGGUCUUCACUCGUCUCUGUGUUCUUCUUCAUUCUUUUCCUCUUUCUUUGUUUCCUGAAAAUUCCUCGUUCCCACCUUUGGCUAUUUUUUCACAACAAUAUUAAAAUAAUCAAUUUUAAAAUUACAAUUUAAUUAAAAUUAAAUCUCUCAUUGUAUUGUGACAGAUUAUUACAUUGUACCUAUUUCUCAUGAAUUACUCAUACUUUAAUCCACAUAACUUUAUGUGUUAUACUCCUUGAUCAUUAUUCUUUUUUUCUGUUCCUUUUCUUCGUUUUAUUUGACUAAAAUGUUUUCUUUGUGCAGAAAAUGGAGUUUUGAAAAGCCUGGACUCGCCCAUCGUCAGGGAGACCCGCCGGCCGACAGAAUCUGCUGCGGCGCCACUUUUUGGCUCUUCCUCUUCCUCGCCGGGCUGUAAUGAAGAGUGAUGACGGGCCGGCGUGACCUCUGACCUGCAGGUUGCUGUUCUGGCGGCGGGGGCUGCAGCGGCGUCUGGCGGCGUCACACCUGGACGAGCAGUCGAAGAAACUGCAGUCUUCGUCGCUGCUGCAGUUCUGCUCCAGGAUGUCCCUCAUCUUCGGCUCGAAGAACGCCAUGUCCACGUCGAUGGCCACCACCUGAACGAGAGCGAGGCCGCCGCCCCGUUAGAGACGGACUCUAACUGUACAGGAAAACCUUCUGAAUCAUGAAGUUCUGGCGUCGUCGGAUGGUUCAGAGGACGCUUUUGUUCCCGUUUGGAUCAUUAUUCUUCGUUUCUCUCACCGUCAGGUCCUUCCUGAUGGCGAAGUUCUCCGGCUUGAUGUCACAGAGGUGCAGCUGGUGAGUGAAGUCGUGCUCAAAGUGCCACACCAUGUCCAGGAAGCUCAGCGCGAUGCGGUGCACCAUCUCCCGGGUGGACCACCUCCCUCGGCCUGGGUCCUGCAGCCCCGGAACCGCCACCUCCUCCAGGGAGAAGAUGUUCUGGUCCCAGGUGUGUCCAGCGGACAGGAACUCCACGGCGUAGAAGUGGCCGCAGGAGCCCAACACUUUGGCCACGUGGCUGCUGAGAUCCUGCAAGAUUCUGGACAGAAGAGGUAGAUGGAAUCAAAGAUUUUAUCCUGGCACAUCAGUGAUCAGGAGGAUUUCGUUCCAAAGGAUUUGGCUCAGAGAAUCGGAAGUACCUGUGCUGCUUUCUGCAGGUGUUUGGAUAUUUCUCGCGGGGACAUAAAACAGGUUGAAGGAAGCAUUUCCAGAACGUGUGACUGACAUUUUCAAAAGUGCUUUCAGGCAUUAAAACCCCAUAAAAGCUCAAACAGAAGACUUUUGGCUCUGUGAGGCCUUAAACCAACACGCCGUGUCAACAGGUUCAGACAGGAAUAAUUGUUUUUGAAACCAGCGCUACAUUUUUUCAUGGCGUGACGUCCUUCAUGAGCUGUGAGGCAGAAAGACGCUCAACGUCCUCCUGAAGUGACGACUGACGGUUGGGAUGAGAAACUGUCAUCUGAACUCCAUUAAAGUCCAGACUCUGAGGCUGUUUCUGGUUCUGACAGAGACCAAGGGUCCAAAAGCCUCGACGCCUCACUACAUUUGUUCCCUUUUGGCUCUCACUGCUAUGAGAAUGACUCACUGUAAAUAUCUGUUGUUAAUUAUCUGAAUGUUUAGUUCUCAUGCAUUCAAGGUUUGGAGUUCAGAACAGUUUUGGCUGACGAUGAUGUAAAAACACAGAUUUGGGUUUAUUUUCAAUAAAGAAAACAUUUUUGUUAUUGAUCAUCAGUCUGACACAUGCAUACAAAUGAUAGACAAAGGUAAACGUUUGAUAUUUAGUUUCAUUUGUCUGAAGUAGCAUUAUCAGACAAAAACUGAACGCCGGCACAGAUCAUCCACAUCCAACAGCCGACCAGUCGGGGGC